rnacentral:snoRNA from 2 species
AGGCAGCCCCUAUGCCCCAUUCAAUGGCAAUGGAGGUGUUUCGUUGCUCCGAGAGUGAAUCUUCUGCUCUUCAGAUUAGCUGAGGGGAAGGCUCUGCUUCCCUCCUUGAAGCUUGUCUAGUAGUCUUAAGAACAUC